GACGAACGCUGGCGGCGUGCUUAACACAUGCAAGUGGAGCGACGAACCGGGGCUUGCCCCGGGGCAGAGCCGCGAACGGGUGAGUAACACGUGGGUAACCUGCCUCAAUGAUUGGGACAACCCGGGGAAACUCGGGCUAAUACCAAAUGUGUUCAACUCCUUCUAAGGGGAGUGAGGAAAGGAAGCUUCGGCCUCCGCAUUGAGAUGGGCCCGCGGCCCAUUAGCUUGUUGGUGAGGUAACGGCUCACCAAGGCUUCGAUGGGUAGCUGGUCUGAGAGGACGAUCAGCCACACUGGGACUGAGACACGGCCCAGACUCCUACGGGAGGCAGCAGUGGGGAAUCUUGCACAAUGCGCGAAAGCGUGAUGCAGCAAACGCCGCGUGGGGGAAGAC
rnacentral:rRNA from 1 species